rnacentral:rRNA from 1 species
CCUGGCUCAGGAUGAACGCUAGCGGCAGGCCUAAUACAUGCAAGUCGAACGAUAUCAUCCAGCUUGCUGGAUGAGAAAGUGGCGCACGGGUGCGUAACGCGUAUGCAACCUACCUUAAUCAGGGGGAUAGCCCGGAGAAAUCCGGAUUAAUACCGCAUAAAAUCACAGUCCCACCUGGGACAAUGAUCAAACAUUUAUGGGAUUGAGAUGGGCAUGCGUGUCAUUAGCUAGUUGGCGGGGUAACGGCCCACCAAGGCGACGAUGACUAGGGGAUCUGAGAGGAUGGCCCCCCACACUGGUACUGAGACACGGACCAGACUCCUACGGGAGGCAGCAGUAAGGAAUAUUGGUCAAUGGAGGCAACUCUGAACCAGCCAUGCCGCGUGCAGGAAGACUGCCCUAUGGGUUGUAAACUGCUUUUAUCCGGGAAUAAACCUCUUUACGUGUAAAGAGCUGAAUGUACCGGAAGAAUAAGGAUCGGCUAACUCCGUGCCAGCAGCCGCGGUAAUACGGAGGAUCCAAGCGUUAUCCGGAUUUAUUGGGUUUAAAGGGUGCGUAGGCGGCCUGUUAAGUCAGGGGUGAAAGACGGUAGCUCAACUAUCGCAGUGCCCUUGAUACUGAUGGGCUUGAAUGGACUAGAGGUAGGCGGAAUGAGACAAGUAGCGGUGAAAUGCAUAGAUAUGUCUCAGAACACCGAUUGCGAAGGCAGCUUACUAGGUCUU